GAUGAACGCUGGCGGCGUGCCUAAUACAUGCAAGUCGAGCGAACAGACGAGGAGCUUGCUCCUCUGACGUUAGCGGCGGACGGGUGAGUAACACGUGGAUAACCUACCUAUAAGACUGGGAUAACUUCGGGAAACCGGAGCUAAUACCGGAUAAUAUAUUGAACCGCAUGGUUCAAUAGUGAAAGACGGUUUUGCUGUCACUUAUAGAUGGAUCCGCGCCGCAUUAGCUAGUUGGUAAGGUAACGGCUUACCAAGGCAACGAUGCGUAGCCGACCUGAGAGGGUGAUCGGCCACACUGGAACUGAGACACGGUCCAGACUCCUACGGGGGGCAGCAGUACGGAAUCUUCCGCAAUGAGCGAAAGCCUGACGGAGCAACGCCGCGUGAGUGAUGAAGGUCUUCGGAUCGUAAAACUCUGUUAUUAGGGAAGAACAAAUGUGUAAGUAACUGUGCACGUCUUGACGGUACCUAAUCAGAAAGCCACGGCUAACUACGUG
rnacentral:rRNA from 1 species